rnacentral:rRNA from 1 species
GACGAACGCUGGCGGCGUGCCUAAUACAUGCAAGUUGAGCGCUGAAGGUUGGUACUUGUCCCAACUGGCUGAGCAGCGAACGGGUGAGUAACGCGUGGGGAAUCUGCCUUUGAGCGGGGGACAACAUUUGGAAACGAAUGCUAAUACCGCAUAAAACCUUUAAACACAAGUUUUAAGUUUGAAAGAUGCAAUUGCAUCACUCAAAGAUGAUCCUGCGUUGUAUUAGCUAGUUGGUGAGGUAAAGGCUCACCAAGGCGAUGAUACAUAGCCGACCUGAGAGGGUGAUCGGCCACAUUGGGACUGAGACACGGCCCAAACUCCUACGGGAGGCAGCAGUAGGGAAUCUUCGGCAAUGGACGAAAGUCUGACCGAGCAACGCCGCGUGAGUGAAGAAGGUUUUCGGAUCGUAAAACUCUGUUGGUAGAGAAGAACGUUGGUGAGAGUGGAAAGCUCAUCAAGUGACGGUAACUACCCAGAAAGGGACGGCUAACUACGUG